CUGGGGUGGAUUUGAUUGAGAGACUCUCUGAGGACGGCGGAUGGGGGGGAGUGGGCGGAGGGUCCAGGUCAGAGGCCAGUGAACUGUGAGGUUACAGCCCCAUAAACACUGGAUCCGCCUUCCCAGAGUGGGGUUUCUCAAGGCACCUGCUUCACGGGAUUGUCGAAGAGCACCUGAGCCCCGGGGCACAGAGGCCCUCACGUGGUAGCCAUUAUUCACCAGCCAGCACCUUUCAAGGGAGGGAAAACUUCAUUUCUAUUUUUGCUGCAACAAAUUCCCCACUGCUAGUUCAUCCCCUCCAUAUCAACAGAGGAAGGGAAACAGG